rnacentral:rRNA from 1 species
UUAUGUGCAUGCCUACAUCGUUAAUGCAUUGGAUCCCAUCAAAAUUCCAUAGUUAAGUGUGCUUGGGAUAGAGUAUUACUGGGAUGGGUGACCUCUCGGUAAGUCCUAGUGUUUUACAUGCC